AUGUCAACUAUGGGUGUUGGCUCCAACAAUUCGCAUUGGUCUCAAACCAAUGACAUGCAUUUUGAAGAUCAUGAGUUCGAGGUGGACGAGGAGGGUGAGGGCAUUAUCGACGCACCAAAAGGAAGAGCGGGCAAUUACACCAACACCGAUGACAUCUUACUAUGCAAAACUUGGUUGCAAGUGUCGAGGGAUCCAUCCGUUGGAGGUGAUCAAAGUAGAGAUGCUUAUUGGAACCGGAUGAAGGAACACUUUGAUGCUCGCAACGUGAGUGGAAUUGACCGCUCCAACCGAUCACUUAGGUCCUGGUGGUCGACAAUCAACUCGGAUUGUCAAAGGUGGGCGGCCUGUCAAAAGGCAGUUGACAAGUUGAACCCAAGUGGCACAAAUGAGGACGAUAGAUACAACAUUGCGCAAAAUUUGUUCAAAGAAGAGGAGAGGAAAACCAAGAAGGGGAAGAUCAAGAAAGGAAGGAUAUUUACUUUGCCUCAUUGCUAUGAAGUGUUGAAGGAUGGUGAGAAAUGGAGGAAGCGUGAAGAUUUGGAUGAUUUGCAUUUGAGAGACAAACGGAAGUGA
rnacentral:rRNA from 1 species